UGCGGAGGUCGUGCGUGUGCUACAUGUGCAUCUGACGGUCGUGCGUGUUGCUGGCGGACAUGGAGGAGUCCGCGCAGCCCAAGCCCGCCGACCCCUCGGAACCGGAGCUCUCCUCGGACCCUCCCAAGGGCGCGGGGACGAACGCGGACGGCUGGCGUCCUCUUCGUGCGACAUGCGGUGCUGGCGGCGGGGUCUGGCUAGCGAUGUCGAGAUCCGCAGGUGAAUCGGCGACUGGUGAAUCGACCCGUCCCCGCGGCGAGCCAUGAGUUAUAUUUCGUGUCUGGAGCGUGAAUGGAACUGAUGGGAGGUGGAGCCCUGUAUGGAUCCGCUGUCCCCGCACACACCAUCAAGUCACGACCAAGAGACAGAGAAAGCAUAGGUUGCUCGGGUGCAUGCUAGAGGCUAGAGCUGCAGGAGGCUCGGCGGGAGCAUCCUGCUGCUUGGCGGUGGACGACAAGGACUUCCUCGCACACGAUUUGUCUUCUAAGAUUUACGGCGCCAAGGGCGACCAUGAAGGCAUGUUGCCGUUUUGUUUGUUCCCAGCCCGACUAUGGUUGUCCAGCGAGUCCAGCAUGUUGUUAUUUGCCCCAGUUUUUCUGGUUCUUCUCUGUUGAUUCAUGUAACAGUGCGAAUGAGGAACCAUUUUGUUUGUUCCCAGCCCGACUAUGGUUGUCCGGUGAGUCCGGCAUGUUGUUCAUCUGUCUAUGGUCGUCCAGCUAUUUUGGCAUGUUGUUCAUGACGCGAGCGGGUGCCUAGUUUGUGGUUGCUAUGGAAGGAGCUUGUAGAGCUUCUAAAGUACUGUAUUACACUUGUAGUCGUUACUGUGAUUUCCAUUAUAUUACAUUAUCUGGUUGCUCUUAUUUGGAGUAUCAUGUGUGUUUUCUAUC